rnacentral:rRNA from 1 species
UACCAGCACCCCGAGUGGUCGGGACGAUUAUUGGGCCUAAAGCAUCCGUAGCCGGUUCUGCAAGUCCCCCGUUAAAUCCAGCUGCUCAACAGAUGGGCCGCGGAGGAUACUACAGAGCUAGGAGGCAGGAGAGGCAAGCGGUACUCGGUGGGUAGGGGUAAAAUCCGUUGAUCCAUUGAAGACCACCAGUGGCGAAGGCGGCUUGCCAGAAUGCGCUCGACGGUGAGGGAUGAAAGCUGGGGGAGCAAACCGG